rnacentral:rRNA from 1 species
GAUGAACGCUGGCGGUAUGCCUAACACAUGCAAGUCGUACGAGAGUUUUUAACUCUAGUGGCGGACGGGUGAGUAACACGUGAGAAUUUGCCUUUAGGAGGGGGACAACAAUUGGAAACGAAUGCUAAUACCCCAUAUGCUUUCGAGUGAAAUGGAUUUUAUCCGCCUAGAGAGAAGCUCGCGGCUGAUUAGCUUGUUGGUAAGGUAAGAGCUUACCAAGGCGACGAUCAGUAUCUGGUUUGAGAGGACGAUCAGACACACUGGAACUGAGACACGGUCCAGACUCCUACGGGAGGCAGCAGUGGGGAAUUUCCGCAAUGGGCGAAAGCCUGACGGAGCAAUACCGCGUGAGGGAAGAAUGCCUAUGGGUU